UCGUAAAGCUCUGUUGUAGAGAAGAACAAGUACGAGAGUAACUACUCGUACCUUGACGGUACCUAACCAGAAAGCCACGGCUAACUACGUGCCAGCAGCCGCGGUAAUACGUAGGUGGCAAGCGUUAUCCGGAAUUAUUGGGCGUAAAGCGCACGCAGGCGGUCUCUUAAGUCUGAUGUGAAAGCCCACGGCUCAACCGUGGAGGGUCAUUGGAAACUGGGAGACUUGAGUGCAGGAGAGAAAAGUGGAAUUCCACGUGUAGCGGUGAAAUGCGUAGAGAUGUGGAGGAACACCAGUGGCGAAGGCGGCUUUUUGGCCUGUAACUGACGCUGAGGCGCGAAAGCGUGGGGAGCAAACAGGAUUAGAUACCCUGGUAGUCCACGCCGUAAACGAUGAGUGCUAGGUGUUGGGGGGUUCCACCCUCAGUGCUGAAGUUAACACAUUAAGCACUCCGCCUGGGGAGUACGACCGCAAGGUUG
rnacentral:rRNA from 1 species